rnacentral:rRNA from 1 species
UACGUAGGGCGCAAGCGUUGUUCGGAUUUACUGGGCGUAAAGGGCGCGUAGGCGGCAAUUCAAGUCAGCUGUGAAAUCUCCGGGCUUAACUCGGAACGGUCAGCUGAUACUGCUUUGCUAGAGUGCGGAAGGGGCAAUCGGAAUUCUCGGUGUAGCGGUGAAAUGCGUAGAUAUCGAGAGGAACACCUGCGGCGAAGGCGGGUUGCUGGGCCGACACUGACGCUGAUGCGCGAAAGCCAGGGGAGCGAACGGG